CAGCCGACGCUGAGCUCCGGGUGUUGGGCUCCAGAGACGGGGGAGCCGUCACCUCGAGGUAUCGCAGUGCGGAGGUGCGGGAGGAGGAGCCACAGCCAGGCCAUGUUUUCUUCAGAUGACGAUGUGCUCAUCGUAAUGGUGUCAUUCCACAGCAUUGCCUUGGAGCUCCUGCCAGUAGAAAAUAUAGGAAAGUCUGGAAAAUGUCAUUUUAACUAAUAAACGCCUGUGCUGCAGUCUGUGAG